UACAGAGGGUGCAAACGUUGUUCGGUGUCAUUGGGCUUAAAGGGUGCGUAGGCGGCCGUGCAAGUUGGGUGUGAAAGCCCUUGGCUUAACCAAGGAAUUGCGCCCAAUACUACACGGCUCGAGGGCCAAAGGGGAGAGCGGAACUCCAGGUGUAGCGGUAAAAUGCGUAGAUAUCUGGGGGAACGCCGAUGGUGAAGACAGCUCUCUGGGUGGCUCCUGACGCUGAGUGCACGAAAGCUGGGGGA
rnacentral:rRNA from 1 species